rnacentral:rRNA from 1 species
UACGUAGGGGGCUAGCGUUGUCCGGAUUUAUUGGGCGUAAAGAGCGUGUAGGCGGCCGAGUAAGUCCGGUGUGAAAACUCGAGGCUCAACCUCGAGACGUCGGCGGAAACCAUCUGGCUAGAGUCCGGAAGAGGAGAGUGGAAUUCCUGGUGUAGCGGUGAAAUGCGCAGAUAUCAGGAAGAACACCAGUGGCGAAGGCGGCUCUCUGGGACGGUACUGACGCUGAGACGCGAAAGCGUGGGGAGCGAACAGG